ACACGUAGGGGCCUGACGUUGUUCGGAAUCAUUGGGCGUAAAGGGCGCGCAGGCGGCCGUCCAAGUCCGGUGUUAAAUGGUCGGGCUCAACCCGAUCAUGCGCUGGAAACUGGGCGGCUUGAGUCCCGUAGGGGAGGCCGGAAUUCCAGGUGUAGGGGGGAAAUCUGUAGAUAUCUGGAAGAACACCGAUGGCGAAGGCAGGCAUCUGGCCGGAGACUGACGCUGAGGCGCGAAGGCGCGGGGAGCGAACAGGUUUAGAUACCCUGGUAGUCCGCGCAGUAAACGAUGCGCACCAGGUGUCGGGCGGCAGCGCCCGGUACCGGAGCUAACGCGAUGAGUGCGCCGCCUGGGGAGUAUGCCCGCAAGGGUGAAACUCAAAGGAAUUGGCGGGG
rnacentral:rRNA from 1 species